UGGUCUUUCCCUGUUUUUGAUAUAAAAUCUAACCGAAAAGUUGUAUUUUCACAAUAAGUUGAUCUCUAGAGAAUUCCUGACUACUUCUCUAUUGUUAUAAUUUGAAAAUCUUGUUCUUGUUUUUGUUUGUUUUUGUUUAGCAGAAAUGAGUGACCCAAAGUAUGCUUAUCCGUACCCUGCUCAAGGUUAUUAUCAAGGACCCCCAGUGAUGGCACCUCCACAAUAUGCAGCACCACCACCCAAAAGAGAGCCUGGUUUCCUUGAAGGAUGCCUUGCAGCUUUGUGUUGCUGCUUCCUUAUUGACGAGUGUUGCUGUGACCCAUCCAUCAUCUUUAUUAGCUGAUAAAGCUGUAACUUGUUCCAAAUACAAACAUAAAUAUGUGGAGUCGUUGAUCUAGGAAACAUUUCAAUCCUAUUGUCUACUAUGUUAAAAUCUUUGUUUCUGUUGUUCGUACAAUAUUAUAUUUGAAUCCCUACUCUCAUUCCCCUUAGGC